UACAGAGGGUGCAAGCGUUGUUCGGAAUUAUUGGGCGUAAAGGGCGUGUAGGCGGUCUGCUAAGUCAUGUGUGAAAUCCCUCGGCUUAACCGAGGAACGACGCAUGAAACUGGCAAGCUAGAGUACCAAAGAGGGGGGUGGAAUUCCCGGUGUAGAGGUGAAAUUCGUAGAUAUGGGGAGGAACACCGGUGGCGAAGGCGGCCACCUGGACGGUAACUGACGCUGAGACGCGAAAGCGUGGGGAGCAAACAGG
rnacentral:rRNA from 1 species